rnacentral:tRNA from 1 species
GGAGGGAUGGCUCAGUGGUUAACAGCACCUGCUGCUCUUGCAGGAGACGUGGGUUCAAUUCCCAGCAUCCACCU